GGGCCAGAAUCAGCCCUCUUCAGGUCAGAGCACGUGACAGGGGCCUAGCUGAGCAGGGGCUCAGUGACUGGUUCAAGAAAGGACGCAUGGCCACCUUUGGACCUGGAAGCCCCCAGUUUUGUGACUUUCACCGGAAGAGCAAGAGCUGCUCCCUUUCCGUGGAGUUGUGGGGACCCCACAUCAGGGGCACCACGUGGAGAUGAGUGCAUAGGAAAAGUGAGCCAGGGCCUGGAGAAAGGGGACUGCCUGGGACAUUACCCAGGGCCCACGUCUAGCGUCUGCUUUCUGGUGACCUGGUCCCUGUCCGUGUCCCCUUGGCCUUCACGGCGGUCACCUGCAGAACUUGCUCACAGGAACCGCACGUGUGAGGCAGGCCAGAAAGUUAGUGCCUCAGGGUGACCCUCCACCACCGAGGGACACGAGCUGCUGAGUGAGGGCCGCCCGGCUCCCUUGCUGUCAGGCACAUCCUGAGAUGUGUUCUGGGACUCCUGGAACUCCCCAGUGGUCACCACUCAGUAGUGCACCCUGCACGGCCCCUCUUCUUCCUCUCUCACUGCCCUACAUCCACACAGCGCUUCCUGGGACCACUCAAAUGUGCGCCCAUGAUGGGUGUCCAAACUAAGACACUGAACCACCAAAUCUCUCUCCCCACUCCUUCCCUCUCUCUCUCUCCCUUCCUCCUUCCCUCUUUGGGCUCCCUCUCUCAUUAAGCCAGUUGGAGUCAAUGUUCUCCACGUGCAACCAAAGAACCUUGAUUAACACUCUGACAGUGACGAUAACAACUAGCUUACAGCGUUUUCCUCUAAGGUGAGACGUGCGCAGUGCUCGUCCUGCGCCUGCUGCACGGCAGACGUGGCCUCCUGCUCCGCUCCAGGCCCCUGACGGAGACAGCGAGCCUUUCAAGUGGACAGCUGGGAAGGGCCUCCUUGUGUGAGUUUUGCCUGGUUUUGAACUUUGCUUCAAAAUGAAGUCGCACAGUGGAUGCUCUUUCACGUCUGACUUCUGCUGGACGUUACGCCUGGAGAGCCAUCUGUGUUGCUGUGUACUGGAAGACGGUUCACUUCCAUCGCUGGAGAGGACUUCAUCGGGGGAUGCGGCACAACGCACUUGCCCAUUUCACGGUCACAGAAGGCAGGGGCUCCCAGGACCAGGAUGGUGGUUCUAGAGCAUCAUUAGGAACCCACAAUCCUCUGUCCUUCCCUUCUGCCAGAUUUAGAGUUUGGCUCCAUCCUCAAGGUCACAAAAUGGCCUCUACAGUGUCAGCCAUCACGUAUAUAUUCCAGGCAGGAAGAAAAAGAAAGAAGAUAAAGAGGGCACACACUAGCUUUUUUGGAGCUUUUCUGGAAGUCCAGCCCAAGAACACCUACUUCUAUAUCCUUAGCCAUCCUUAUUUACCAGGGAAGUGGGAACUGUAGUCUCAGCUGCUCACCUGGUCAUCUUGCAAGAAGAGGAGACUGGAUGUUGGGCAGGCAAUGAGCAGGCUCUCGUUCAGCAUCCAGCCCUAGUUUUCUUCUCCCUUAUUUUGUGAGGGACAAGGAACUCUCUAAUGCUAGCAAUUGCUAAAAGCAAGUAAGCUGGAUUUCUGAAACGAGAUGCUUUCAACAGGGACUCUGCUGACAUUCCUCCUUCAUGAGAGCCCUGCGGUGUGCCCUUGGGAAGGGGGUACAGGCUCCUCCUUAAGAACAGCAGGUCCUCAUCAGA
rnacentral:lncRNA from 1 species